rnacentral:misc_RNA from 2 species
CCGAUCAGGAAGGGGACACCCUCCUGACACUACCGUCGUGCGCGUCGGUUUUGUAAACCCCGAGAAAGAAAAUCGUUACGCGAUGUUGGGCGAGGGGCGCCUCGCCGAGGGUUCAUUCCCUCGAAUCAAAGCGCACCCCACUUUUCAACCCCAUUAAACUCUGAAUCUGAACUCAAAAGGGGGGCAUGCGCGCGAUUGCGCGCGGCUCCCCCAACCUUUAACGUU